GAUGAACGCUGACAGAAUGCUUAACACAUGCAAGUCAACUUGAAUUUGGGUUUUUAACUUCGGUUUGGGUGGCGGACGGGUGAGUAACGCGUAAAGAACUUGCCUCACAGCUAGGGACAACAUUUGGAAACGAAUGCUAAUACCUAAUAUUAUGAUAAUAGGGCAUCCUAUAAUUAUGAAAGCUAUAAGCGCUGUGAGAGAGCUUUGCGUCCCAUUAGCUAGUUGGAGAGGUAACGGCUCACCAAGGCGAUGAUGGGUAGCCGGUCUGAGAGGGUGAUCGGCCACAAGGGGACUGAGACACGGCCCUUACUCCUACGGGAGGCAGCAGUGGGGAAUAUUGGACAAUGGACCGAGAGUCUGAUCCAGCAAUUCUGUGUGCACGAUGAAGUUUUUCGGAAUGUAAAGUGCUUUCAGUUGGGAAGAAACAAAUGACGGUACCAACAGAAGAAGUGACGGCUAAAUACGUA
rnacentral:rRNA from 1 species